GACGAAGGAUGCAAGCGUUAUCCGGAUUCAUUGGGUUUAAAGGGAGCGUAGGCGGUCUGGUAAGUCAGUGGUGAAAUCUUCUCGCUUAACGAGGAAACUGCCAUUGAUACUGCCGGACUUGAGUACAGAUGCUGUGGGCGGAAUAUGACAUGUAGUGGUGAAAUACAUAGAGAUGUCAUAGAACACCGAUUGCGAAGGCAGCUCACAAAACUGUAACUGACGCUGAGGCUCGAAAGUGUGGGGAUCAAACAGG
rnacentral:rRNA from 1 species